AACUAUAACGGUCCUAAGGUAGCGAAAUUCCUUGUCGGGUAAGUUCCGACCCGCACGAAAGGCGUAACGAUUUGGGCACUGUCUCAACAAUAGACUCGGUGAAAUUGUAAUCCCGGUGAAGAUGCCGGGUACCUGCGACAGGACGGAAAGACCCCAUGGAGCUUUACUGUAGCUUGACGUUGGGUCUUGGUACUACAUGUACAGGAUAGGUGGGAGACUAUGAAGCAUGGACGCCAGUCUGUGUGGAGUCAUCCUUGGGAUACCACCCUUGUAGUACUGGGAUCCUAACCAUAGGCCUUGAAUCAGGUCUUGGAACACCGUCAGGUGGGCAGUUUGACUGGGGCGGUCGCCUCCUAAAAAGUAACGGAGGCGCUCAAAGGUUUCCUCAGCACGGUCGGAAAUCGUGCGAAGAGUGUAAAGGCAAAAGGAAGCUUGAUUGCAAGACAUACAGGUCGAGCAAGGACGAAAGUCGGACUUAGUGAUCCGGUGGUACCGCAUGGAAGGGCCAUCGCUCAACGGAUAAAAGCUACCCUGGGGAUAACAGGCUUAUCUCCCCCAAGAGUCCACAUCGACGGGGAGGUUUGGCACCUCGAUGUCGGCUCAUCACAUCCUGGGGCUGUAGUAGGUCCCAAGGGUUGGGCUGUUCGCCCAUUAAAGUGGUACGCGAGCUGGGUUCAGAACGUCGUGAGACAGUUCGGUCCCUAUCCGUCGCAGGCGUAGGAAAUUUGAGAAGACCUGUCCUUAGUACGAGAGGACCGGGAUGGACGUACCUCUGGUGUACCAGUUGUUCUGCCAAGGGCAUGGCUGGGUAGCUAUGUACGGAAUGGAUAAGCGCUGAAAGCAUCUAAGCGCGAAGCCAACUUCAAGAUAAGAUUUCCCACCGUAAGGGUAAGACCCCAGGAAGACUACCUGGUUGAUAGGUCGAAGGUGUAAGUGCAGUAAUGUAUUUAGCUUAUCGAUACUAAUAGGUCGAGGACUUGACCAA
rnacentral:rRNA from 1 species